GUGGGGAAUAUUGGACAAUGGGGGGAACCCUGAUCCAGCCAUGCCGCGUGUGUGAAGAAGGCCUUUUGGUUGUAAAGCACUUUAAGCGAGGAGGAGGCUACCGAGAUUAAUACUCUUGGAUAGUGGACGUUACUCGCAGAAUAAGCACCGGCUAACUCUGUGCCAGCAGCCGCGGUAAUACAGAGGGUGCAAGCGUUAAUCGGAUUUACUGGGCGUAAAGCGCGCGUAGGUGGCCAAUUAAGUCAAAUGUGAAAUCCCCGAGCUUAACUUGGGAAUUGCAUUCGAUACUGGUUGGCUAGAGUAUGGGAGAGGAGGGUAGAAUUCCAGGUGUAGCGGUGAAAUGCGUAGAGAUCUGGAGGAAUACCGAUGGCGAAGGCAGCCAUCUGGCCUAAUACUGACACUGAGGUGCGAAAGCAUGGGGAGCAAACAGGAUUAGAUACCCCGGUAGUCC
rnacentral:rRNA from 1 species